rnacentral:rRNA from 1 species
CACGUAGGCACCAAGCGUUGUCCGGAUUUAUUGGGCGUAAAGAGCUCGUAGGCGGUCUGUCGCGUCGGUCGUGAAAACCUGCAGCUUAACUGUGGGCUUGCGGUCGAUACGGGCAUGACUGGAGUUCGGCAGGGGAGACUGGAAUUCCUGGUGUAGCGGUGAAAUGCGCAGAUAUCAGGAGGAACACCGGUGGCGAAGGCGGGUCUCUGGGUCGAUACUGACGCUGAGGAGCGAAAGCGUGGGGAGCAAACAGG